GGGGAUUGCUAGCUUCCUCCCUGGAAGCAGGAAGGAGAGACGCUAUUCUCUCCUGUGAGAGGGUCAAGGAGACUGAGCACUGGGAGUACAGAAGGAAAGCAGUUAAGGCUGGCUUGGAGCACUGGGUGUGCAGAAGGAAAGCAAUUACGGCUGGCAUGGAGCACUGGGAGUGCAGAAAGGAAAGCAGCAGGUUAGCUGAGAGCACUGGAGUGCAG